CGCGGGGUGGAGCAGCUCGGUAGCUCGUCGGGCUCAUAACCCGAAGGUCGUAGGUUCAAAUCCUAUCCCCGCAACCA
rnacentral:tRNA from 1 species